rnacentral:ncRNA from 1 species
CAAUGGGGUGCUGCCGGAAGGCGGCUGAGAUGAUACCCUUGAACCUGAUCGGGAUAAUGCCCGCGGAGGAAUUGUUAUG